GCACCCCUAGCUCAGUUGGAUAGAGCAACCGCCUUCUAAGCGGUCGGUCAAUGGUUCGAGUCCAUUGGGGUGCACCA
rnacentral:tRNA from 1 species